UACUCAGUUCAGAUUGCAGGCUGNAACCGCCUGCAUGAAGUCGGAAUUGCUAGUAAUCGCGGAUCAGCAUGCCGCGGUGAAUACGUUCCCGGGCCUUGUACACACCGCCCGUCACACCAUGGGAGCCGGUAAUACCCGAAGUCAGUAGUCCAACCUCGUGAGGACGCUGCCGAAGGUAGGAUUGGCGACUGGGGUGAAGUCGUAACAAGGUAAC
rnacentral:rRNA from 1 species